AGGAAGACUGAAGGAAGAGGUAGACAGACAGGUAGACAGACAGGUAGACUGAAGGAAGAGGUCUACAGACAGGUAGACUGAAGGAAGAGGUUGACAGACAGGUUGACAGACAGGUUGA